UUCAGCCUACUCCAAAUCCUCCUUUUUCCCCUCAAAUCCUGGGAAUUUUGGGCCUGGCCUACCCCAAAUCCCACUUUUCCCUCCAAAACAUUGGAAUUUUACCCUCAGCACUUCCCACUUUUCCCACUUUUCCCUCAGAAAUCUUGGAAUUUUGAGUUUGGCCUACUCCAAAUCCUCCUUUUUUCGCUCAAAUCCCGGGAAUUUUGGGCCCUUUUCCCUCAGAAAUUGUGGAAUUUUGUGCUCAGCACUUCCCUCUUUUCCCACUUUUCCCUCAGAAAUCUUGGAAUUCUGAGCUCGGCCUACUCCAAAUCCUCCUUUUUCCCCUCAAAUCCUGGGAAUUUUGGGCCUGGCCUACCCCAAAUCCCACUUUUCCCUCCAAAACAUUGGAAUUUUACCCUCAGCACUUCCCACUUUUCCAACUUUUCCCUCAGAAAUCUGGGAAUUUUGAUCUUGGCCUACUCCAAAUUCCACUUUUCCCUCCAAAACUUUGGAAUUUUACCCUCAGCACUUCCCUCUUUUCCAACUUUUCCCUCAGAAAUCUGGAAUUUUGGGCCUGGCCUACUCCAAAUUCUCCUUUUUCCCCUCAAAUCCUGGGAAUUUUGGGCCCUUUUCCCUCAGAAAUCUUGGAAUUUUGAUCUUGGCCUACUCCAAAUCCCACUUUUCCCUCCAAAACUUUGGAAUUUUACCCUCAGCACUUCCCACUUUUCCAACUUUUCCCUCAGAAAUCCUGGAAUUUUGGGCCUGGCCCUGCCCAAUUCCCAACUUUUCCCCUUGGAAUUCUCUGGGAAAAGCGGGAAAAGCCUCUUUUUCCUCAGCCCAGGGGAUUUUUUUUGGGAUAAAAAAGGGAAAUUCCUGUGAAUUUCCUGGAGUUUUGGGAUUAUUUUUAUUCCUGAGGGAGGAAUGGGAUUAAUGAGUUUGUAUUAAUUAAUUGAUUGAGUCCAAUUAACGGGAUUUAUUUAAUUAUUGGGUUAAUUUUGGUUAUUUCGGGGUUAUUUGGAUUCGAAAUCCUUUUUAUUCCUUUAUUUUAAUUCUGAUUAAUUGGAAUUUGAAUUAAUUUUUGUUUAUUGUUGUUUUUAAUCCAUUUCUUUUUUUUAAUUCCUUAUAAAGAUCCUUUUUAAAGAAAGAUGUUAAUGAUAAAUUAAUCAAUAAAUUAAUAUUAAUAAAAGUAAUUUUAAAAUGG
rnacentral:lncRNA from 1 species